AGAGUUUGAUCCUGGCUCANAGCGAACGCUGGCGGCGUGCCUAACACAUGCAAGUCGAGCGGACUGCAAGGAGGGGUAACUCUUCUUGCAGUUAGCGGCGAACGGGUGAGUAACACGUGGGUAACCUGCCCUUAGGAGAGGGAUAACUUGGGGAAACCUAAGCUAAUACCUCAUAAGACCACGGACUGAAAUGUCAGUGGUAAAAGGAGCAAUCCACCUAAGGAUGGGCCCGCGGCCUAUCAGGUAGUUGGUAGGGUAAUGGCCUACCAAGCCUAUGACGGGUAGCCGGGCUGAGAGGCUGACCGGCCACAUUGGGACUGAGACACGGCCCAGACUCCUACGGGAGGCAGCAGUGGGGAAUAUUGGGCAAUGGGCGAAAGCCUGACCCAGCGACGCCGCGUGGGGGAAGAAGGCCUUCGGGUUGUAAACCCCUUUUGCAGGGGACGACACAGGACGGUACCCUGCGAAUAAGCCACGGCUAACUCUGUGCCAGCAGCCGCGGUAAGACGGAGGGGGCAAGCGUUGUCCGGACUCACUGGGCGUAAAGCGUGCGUAGGUGGUUGGAUGCGUCGGCGCUGAAAGCACCCGGCUUAACCGGGUGAGGGGCGGCGAUACGAUCCGACUGGAGGCAGGGAGACGUUGGCANAAUUCCGGGUGUAGUGGUGAAAUGCGUAAAGAUCCGGAAGNAAUGCCGGUGGCGCAAGCGGCCAACGAGUCCUGUCCUGACACUGAGGCACGAAAGCGUGGGGAACNAACCGGAUUAAAUACCCGGGUAGUCCNC
rnacentral:rRNA from 1 species